rnacentral:lncRNA from 1 species
CGUCUCUCUGUCCUCCAACUAUGUCACAAAAGGACACUUGGGCCCGUGGCCACGCCUGCACUGCCCACCUGAAGUGCUUAACUCCAGCACAUUGCCCACCUCUCAGAAGGAGGGUCACCUGCCCAGGUAGUUUCAUGGGGCCACAGCCCUCCUCUACACUGGAAAAUAUGGGUCCCUAUCGUCACCAGUGACAAAACUGAAGCUGUCCCCCUAGAGGAAAAUGACAACCAGUCUCUUGAUGAUCUGCAAGCGCACCUGUUCUGGAGUCCAACGGCCACAGACAGACUUUGGGGCCUCUGCUCAAAGCCUCGGUUUCCUCAGCUGUCAGGUGGAAAUCAGAGCACGUACCACCGAGCGUUACCCCUGGGCAUGGAUAAGGCGCCCAUGAGAAAGCGCUGCGAGCCGCGGCCGGUGCACACGGGGCGCUGUGAGGGUGAGAUGGUUGCUGCUCACUCCUCUGGCCUGUGCUGAGAAACCAAACGGAUCUUUAUCUGGGACUGGGGAUCGAAUCCAGGCCUUCACACUGAGCUAU